AAAAUGGUUAAGAUAAUGCCUGGCCUAUUGUUAGUGCUUUAUAAAUAUGAGCUCUCGUUGUCUCUCUAUUAUGACGUUUCUGAUUCUACAACUUCCAUGUUUACAAUAGAAUCCUGAGAUACUUCAGACCUUCACUUCUUUUGCUCUGCACAGUGAUCAGAAAGUGACUCAUAAUCAUCGCUAGUCUAGGUCUCAUCAGGUGACCAGGAGUCCACCAUGACCUUGUACAGCGCAAGCCCUUGAUAAAUGAUUCAAUUAAAUUCAAAAGGGCUUGGGCAGCAAAAAGUGUCCUCUUGCUCCAUGCCCAGCAGAGGGAGCAGAAGAAAAGGAACAAAUCCUUUCUCAGCUAUGUACUAAACACAAAGGAAGACAGAAGGCUGAGGGCUUCUAGAGGUCUCCUUAUCCACCCACCCCUCUCCCCUCAUUUUGUACAUUGUGAAACUGAGACCAAGAGAGGAAAGGGGAUUUCUCAACGUUACCAACCAAUAAGCGAAAUUCAGAAGCUGCUCAAACUCCAGUGCAGUCAUGGAGCCUCCAUUACCUGGGAGGCAGCCUCCAAGCAGCAUGCAGCCUUGUCAGAAACUGCACCGCCAAGGGUGAGAAUGGCAUUAGAAGCAAAGAGUGCACUUGAACUGAGUACUUUCCACAUAACCGACGCUAGGGACACCGCAGGACAUAGUUGCUGCCUCUGAGGAGCUCCCAAAUUUGCUCUCCAGAGAGGCCUCUCACCCCACCUUCCAUAGCUUUGUCUCCACUGAGUCAAAAGCUGUUAGAUCAUCUGUU
rnacentral:lncRNA from 1 species